UAAAGUCACAACGGUACAAGAUGAGCAUGCGUCCCAUUAGCUAGUUGGUAAGGUAACGGCUUACCAAGGAUACGAUGGGUAGGGGUCCUGAAAGGGAGAUCCCCCACACUGGUACUGAGACACGGACCAGACUCCUACGGGAGGCAGCAGUGAGGAAUAUAGGACAAUGGGCGCAAGCCUGAUCCAGCCAUGCCGCGUGCAGGAUGACGGUCCUAUGGAUUGUAAACUGCUUAAGUACGAGAAGAAACACUCCUAUGUAUAGGAGCUUGAUCGGUAGUCGUAAGAAUAAGGAUCGGCUAACUCCGUGCCAGCAGCACGCGGUAAUACCGGAGGAUCCAAGCGUUAUCCGGAAUCAUUGGGUUUAAAGGGUCCGUAGUCGGUUUAGUAAGUCAGUGGUGAAAGCCCAUCGCUCAACGGUGGAACGGCCAUUGAUACUGCUGAA
rnacentral:rRNA from 1 species